rnacentral:lncRNA from 1 species
CUAAACUGUAUUUCGUAUACAAACGUUUGUUGAAAAAACGCAUUUGAACAUAUCACUUUUCUCUCAAGUAGCUAGGCUACAUGAUGCAGGUAAUCAAAUAUUUUCUUAUUAGCACUAUGACGUCAAAACAUCUUUAAAAAAUACUAACAACGAUUUCAAAAUCAUAAGUCACAUGCCCUGCCUCCUUGGUAUCAGCCAACCGGUCUAGACAAUGAAUGUCUCUUUACAUAAUAGAACCUUACUGUGAUACAAAUGAAGUUAAACCUGUAUUGCUUGUAAUGGGAAGUUUCACAAUGUGACAUAUGACGGUUAAUGUGAAACCUCUAAAGACAAAGACUCACCACUUCACAAGAAGGCAAAGAGAGACACAUGUUGUACAUAUUAGGGAUUACCAUUGGCCUUAUGUUCAUCAUAAUGUGCCUUUCAAAUGGACUGAAAGAGAAACAAGAUUUGAUUAACAGAAAUAAAGAGAGACAUAGCAAAGGAGGAAAUCUUCAAAAUCCUGAAAACAAGGAUGCCAACAAGAAAAAGUUAAAUGAACAUGAUUAUCACUUAUUGGCCAAAGUCCUAUCUGUUGGGUUGGUAGACGCGGACCCUAAUUAUCUUCAACACCUCAAGGACUACAGGGACCUGCGUGGAAGCACUUCCUGA